UUACGGCCAUAUCACGUUGAAACACAGGUUCCCGUACGAUCAUCGAAGUUAAGCAACGUAGAGCCUGGUCAGUACCUGGAUGGGUGAUCACUUGGAAAUAUCAGGUGCUGGAAG